CAGCAGCCGCGGGAAUACAGAGGGUGCGAGCGUUAAUUGGAUUUACUGGGCGUAAAGCGUGCGUAGGCGGCUUCUUAAGUCGGAUGUGAAAUCCCUGAGCUUAACUUAGGAAUUGCAUUCGAUACUGGGAAGCUAGAGUAUGGGAGAGGAUGGUAGAAUUCCAGGUGUAGCGGUGAAAUGCGUAGAGAUCUGGAGGAAUACCGAUGGCGAAGGCAGCCAUCUGGCCUAAUACUGACGCUGAGGUACGAAAGCAUGGGGAGCAAACAGGAUUAGAUACCCGUGUAGUCCCUGUCUCUUAUAC
rnacentral:rRNA from 1 species